CCUUGCUUAUGCAGUGGUUAAGAGUUUGGCUGCUAACCAAAAGGCUGGCAGUUCGAAUCCACCAGCUAGGU
rnacentral:tRNA from 1 species